GCUAUUUUUAAGUUGCAUUUAAGUUGAUAGCUUGUCAUUUCUGGUCUUUGAAAUUUGUUUUCUUUUCAAAUUAUUUAAUUUGAUUCUAUAUAUUGGAAUUGUUUUGUAACCUUUUUAUGUUUUAACUGAUCCAUGUUUCUCUUUGUCUUACAGGUAAAAAUCAUUGGUGAAGUCACCAGAUGUGGAUGGGUAAGUACUGCAUCUAAAGUUAAAAUUGUUUGGAAAUAAGAUUAGAAAUGCCUUUAUCUUGCAAAGUGUGUCAGUACUCUGUAAAGUCUAUUCCAGAAUUUGUCAGACUUGCUAAGGAACACAGGAAUCUUGCAAACUGUAGAUUCUCUUGUGGAUUUUUCCAGUGUCCAUGUAACUUCAAAACUGCCGUUGGCCUUCGUACACAUAUGUAUCGUAACCAUGCAGUGAUUACACCAAGUGCUGACAAAUCACACAGUGGUGUUAAUAUGACAUGCCAGGUUAUGGGAUGUUCUUUCACUUCCACAUCUGGGGAUGCAUUGUGAAACUAAUAUCUCUGUGUAGGUCUAUGCAGUGUUGAAUAUGUUUUUCAUUUCUUUCAGUGUGUAUGUUGUUCGACAUUGCAGCGUGCUGAUGAGUUAAUAAAGAGGCAGCAAAAACCUGGGAUCUGCAUUGGCCCUGUCAAGUCUGGAGAGUGUUUUUACCAUUUAAUGAAUUAAAUUGUAAUAAAAGUUUUUAAAUGGA